UGAUGAAAAUGGACUGAACCUCUGAACGGUCUUGUGCAGGCAGCCAUAUUGCUGAGAGUUUAUGGAGCAGCAUCCCUAUUCCAUCCAGAAGUCAUCCUGAUCAUCAGGCUCUUACAGUCCUUCUGCACUCCACUCCGUGAUGUCUCCUGACCCGUGCGUGUAGGAGUUGUGUGGCAGAUGUCCCAUUUGUGGCCAGGCACCCCACAGUCAAUUAUUCUCUGCAUUUUGACAUUUUGACUAGUUAGGGAUCUCUCUACUGGUCUUCAUCUGCUGCUGCUGCUAAAAAACAAACAAACAAACAAAAAAACAACUUCUUGGAUGAGUUUGAGAGCUGCAGUUAUCUAUGGCAUAGGGAUGAGUAUUUUGAAGGCACUUUAGUAAUAUGGUAGCAGUAGAUGCUCCUCUAGAAUUUAUGGCCUCUUCAGCCAUGGGUUCUUGGCUAGGAUUAUAGUAUGAGGCAUGGGUUCCACCUAAUUGAGCAGGCUUUAGGCCCAGCUGUUCCCAAGAUACAAGUACCAUUAUUGCAACAUUGGGGGCUGUCUCCUGGUCCCAUUGUAGCACUCAGGCUGGCUGGGUUUGUGAUACAUUUUCUCCCUCAGCAGUUUGUAUAAGUCUUCUGAUACCAUGAGAGCUAGUCCUUGUAGAAAAGGCUACCAGGUCGGAGGCUACCAGGUCAGUACCAGCUUGGUUUUUCUAAGUUUUGUGUCUCAUAAGUGUCGUGUCUUUAGCAGUAGGAGCUUGCCUUGAUCUUCCGGCCACAAUCAAGAGCAAUGACAUUAGCCUAUAUUGUUUUGAGGAUCUUUUGGAUACCCCUGGCCAAUGGAUCAAAGAGAGGUAUUUGUGAACAGAGCAAUAGUGAACUGCUACACUGAAAACUUCAAAUCUCAGAAGAAAGAAAUGGCAGAAGCCACUAGAAGAUGAAAAGAAAUUCUAUGCUCAUGGAAUAGUAGAAUUAAUAUUGUGAAAAUGACCAUCACAGAGUCAGCACAAUGCCGAUUAAAAUCCUCACAACAUUCUUCACAGAAAUAUAUCAUAUAUAUAGUAUAGAACCACAAAAGACCCUGAAUAAUCAAAGCAAUUCUGAGCAAAAAGAAAUGUUGGCGGUAUUAUCAUAUCAGAUUUCAAGUUAUAUAAAUCUAUAUGGUUAUAGAUUUCAUAUAUAGAAAUCUAUCUAU